GAAGGGGGCUAGCGUUGCUCGGAAUUACUGGGCGUAAAGGGAGCGUAGGCGGACAUUUAAGUCAGGGGUGAAAUCCCAGAGCUCAACUCUGGAACUGCCUUUGAUACUGGGUGUCUUGAGUGUGAUAGAGGUAUGUGGAACUCCGAGUGUAGAGGUGAAAUUCGUAGAUAUUAGGAGGAACACCAGUGGCGAAGGCGGCUUGCUGGACGAUGACUGACGUUGAGGCUCGAAAGCGUGGGGAGCAAACAGGAUUAGAUACCCUGGUAGUCCACGCCGUAAACGAUGACUACUAGGUGUCGGGGAGCAAAGCUCUUCGGUGCCGCAGCCAACGCAAUAAGUAGUCCACCUGGGGAGU
rnacentral:rRNA from 1 species